UACGGGGGGGGCAAGCGUUGUUCGGAAUUACUGGGCGUAAAGGGCUCGUAGGCGGCCAACUAAGUCGGACGUGAAAUCCCCAGGCUCAACCUGGGAACUGCGUCCGAUACUGGAUGGCUUGAAUCCGGGAGAGGGUAGUGGAAUUCCCGGUGUAGUGGUGAAAUGCGUAGAUAUCGGGAGGAACACCAGUGGCGAAGGCGACUACCUGGCCUGUUUCUUGACGCUGAGGCGCGAAAGCUAGGGGAGCAAACGGG
rnacentral:rRNA from 1 species